AGACAACUAGCACCUCUCAUAAAUUUGCACGACUUUGAAAGCAAAGAAUCACCAAACUCGCCAGUGGUAGCUAACAGUUUAGAAGAUCUGAUAACUUUUGAUGGAAGUUUAGACAACUCUGAGCUGACUACUAAUCAAGAUGAUGCGGUGAAGGGAAGUACCGAUGUUUCUGGUGUAGAUAGCAUGAUAUUAGCUAACAUAAAAGUGUUUGCAGAACAAGGGAAUGCUUCUACAGGCCCUGAAGUUUCUAAGAGCAUUUUGAGCUUAGGUAACCAAAAAAAGAAAGUAAAUUAGUGAAGUCUAGUAGUAGUAUUAAUGUAUUAUUAACUUUUGCAAAGUGUUCUGAAAGUUGUCAAGUCUAUCUGCUACAAUGUUUAUGUACAUAGUAUGGCAACUGGACAAGCAAAUGACUCAGUUCCUUUUAAGUUACUAUUUCUGUUGUGUCUCUUGUUUCAA
rnacentral:misc_RNA from 1 species